AUGAGGGAACAACAAAGGUUUCGCAACAGAAAGAAAGGAGGGUUUGUUUUAGGGUGAAGUGCGACGCUUCACUUCCCGAACUGCAACGGCAGGAUGACAAAUAGAAGGAGACCCAUGCUACAACCAAACACAGUAUGAAGAAGAUGACGAAAGAAGACAUCACCAUUGUUGGACCUUACCUUCGAACCGCGGUUCAUCGUAGUCACAAACAGUGACGGUGCAAGGAAGAAAAAAAAGCGGUACCUCUCCGACUAAGGCACACAACAAUUUGCAGAGGUUGAAAAGGCAUGGUGACUUGUUUGCAGGGCAUGGUGGCUUCGUAGCAGAGUAGUUAGGGAAGCAGUUGCUGGGGUUCACGGAAGAUACAAUCAACACGUUUUUUUUUCUUAUUUUUCUAUUUUGUUUUGUUGUUUGUUUUUGCUUUUUUUUUUGUUUUUUUUUUGCUUUUAAUUUGUAUUAUAUUUUGGAAUAUGUAUGGACUGGACUUUUUUUAUUUAUACAGGGAGACAAAAUUUGGAGUUAACAAUAUUUGA